UACAGAGGUCUCAAGCGUUGUUCGGAUUCAUUGGGCGUAAAGGGUGCGUAGGCGGCGCGGUAAGUCGGGUGUGAAAUCUCGGAGCUUAACUCCGAAACUGCAUUCGAUACUGCCGUGCUUGAGGACUGGAGAGGAGACUGGAAUUUACGGUGUAGCGGUGAAAUGCGUAGAUAUCAAGAGGAACACCUGAGGUGAAGACGGGUUGCUGGGCUGACACUGACGCUGAGGCGCGAAAGCCAGGGGAGCAAACAGG
rnacentral:rRNA from 1 species